CGUACGUUACCCCGCGCUGCGCGGCUGCUCCUGCCGACGGGUCGCCCCGGGGGGGGGGGGGGCUCAUCCUUGCUGGGGGUUUUUUUUUUGCUCCUUUCGAGACGCGCCCGGUGCUGCUGAGCCCAGAAAAAGUCAGCCGGGAGAAGAGGUUUGAACAGCUCCUUGCAUCCUUGGAGAGAAACAAAGAAACAAACGAAACGAAACAGAACAAAAGAGGAAAGGAGAAAAAAAAAAAAAAAAGAAAAAAGAAAAAACCCCAAACCGAACAAUCCACGUGCUCAUGCCAGUAUUUCGAAUGGAAGGGGUUGGUUUUUUUUUUUUCCUUUGGUUUCUUACUGAAGGCAAAGGUGAGAGCGGGCUUGCAGUCUGCACGGGUCGAACCCGACAUUCACGGCUGGGGGGGGACCCCGGGGGUCCCCUCCCUGUGGUCCCUGUGGCGGGGGGGGGGAGAGGAGCAGCCCCGGGGGCCCUCGCCGUGGAACUCGAAUGGUUUUCAGGCUGCGGGGGGCGCGGGGGGAGCCCCCCAGCCCCGCCACACAACACAAAAUAAAACAAAAAGGUUGUUUCUUGGGUCUUUGCGGUUUGUUCUUGGUUUUGGUUUCUCGGUUCUAAUACUUUGUCUCGCGUGCUCGGGGGAACCACGAGGGGCCCGCGGUGCGCACAGGAGUCGCUACGACACUCAGAGUGUUCAAAAAGCAAACAGAACUUGUUCCUUUUUUUUUUCUUUUUUUUUUUUUUUUUUUUUUCUCUCUCAAAACACAACUUCCCUUUGUUCAUUCAUUCCCUAGAAACAAACUUCUUUUUUUUUUUUUUUUUUUAAAUUAAAAAUUAAAAGAUAAAACCAAAGACACUCUCUUAUCCCUUCCGCUCUUGCUGCUCUCUAUCCCGUGGGAUGCUAAAGGGAAUCCAGACUCAUGCUUUAACAAAAGUGCUUAUUACUUGAAGCAAGUGCUUUGGACCAAGGGGGCGGAGAGAAACUUCCUUCUGGGGGGGGGGAGCAGAGGGACGGGUGGUCCGGGACCUGCUUAUUCCAAACCAAGAUGAACAGCUUUAAGGGGGGGGGGAGCCGAAAAAAGUCGCUGCUUGGUGAGAGCUACACCAAACGGAUGCCGGGCGCCGAAAAGAACGCGAAGCGGGAAUGGUCCAACUUUGGCAUAAAGGUCCGUGGGGGGGCUGGGGGAGCCCCCGCUGCC
rnacentral:lncRNA from 1 species